GCCAGGCGUGGUGGUGGGUGCCUGUAAUCCCAGCUACUUGGGAGGCUGAGGCAGGAGAAUUGCUUGAACCCGGGAGAUGGAGGUUGCAGUGAGCCAAGAUCAUGCCACUGCACUCCAGCCUGGGCAACACAGUGAGACCCUGUCUCAA
rnacentral:SRP_RNA from 1 species